UUUUUUUUUUUUUUGUUUAUAUUUUCCUCAUCCCCAAGUCAAGUGCAAGAACUCUCCCUCUAGUGUGAGUCCCACAAUUUCUUACCAUGGACUUCACUCGAUCCUGACCGUUGAUUUGGUGUGAUGAGAUUCAAUGUGGAGGUGUUGGACAUUCAACUGUUGGGAUUGUGAUGAUGAUGGUGUUUUAUGGCUCUUUGAGACCAAAAAUGGCAUUUGCCUUGUGCAAGUGGAUUUCCCUCCAUCUUAUAUGUUCAUUCUUCAAAUAGUGAUAAGAUAGUAAGAAGAUAAACAUCUUUCCUUUUGUGCUGAUUGUGUAUUUAUAAAUUAUAUAUUGUGUGUUUAAGAAACUAACAUACGUAACACAUGUGUACUGAGAAUGAGACUACGACGACCGUAAAAUAUUUGUUUAAAUGGAGGGGUGAAACAAAACAUAGAAAGAAGAAAAGUGGGACUCACAGCUAUUUUUUUCUUGUUGUGCAAAUUUGGUAUUUAUGAUCUGCGUAUCAUAUAAUUCAAAACUUGACAGCCGUAACGUAUGCAGAUCUACGUCCUGAAAAUACGACGAGUGUAAAGUGUUUGUUGGAAUUGGAGGUGUAAAAUAAAACAUGCAUUUAUUGUGUAUUUAUGAAUCAGAUAUUAUGCAUUUAAGAAGCUGACAGACGUAACAUAUGCGUACUGAGAACGAGAAUACGAUGACUGUAAAGUAUUUGUUCAAAUGGAGAGGUGAACUAAAACAUUCCUUUUUAUUUUGUGUAGACUUUGUAUUUAUGAUUAGUAGACAACUAUUCUAAGCCAUUAGAUCAGCAUUAGUGUUUACUUAAGUUUAAUAUGUGACCUCUCUCACGUUGUAGACAAGAAAUUUGAUAUGGUAGCUCCCACUCUGCUUAUAUAUAGAUAUAGAGAUACAUACAUACAUAUAUAUAUAUAUGUGUGUGUGUGUGUGUGUAUCAUCAAGUAAAAUACUUACAUUGGCAUCUACAGUUUGAGGUUCUUUAUAUUUAUGAGGAAAAAAUAGAGACUCUCUUUAAAGUUACUCAUAGUAGAGUUAAUUCUGAAGCUAAUACUUUCUUCCAUCACGUGUGUGGCUUUUUUUUUUCUUUUUUUUUUUUUUGGUAUAGAAAUGAUAGGAUUUUACGAAGUAUUUUAAUAACCAAACAUUAAACAACCACAACAAGUCACAAUGAGCCACGUCUUAGUAUUAACCUCAAUACAAAUACAUAUUGUAUUUGCAUUCGUCAGAGACAUCCAACUAAGUGGAGAUCAAAUGUCAUUAGAUCAACUCAUCGUAAGGUGUUGCAAUGUGGUUUUUAAAGUUCAAGUUAGGGAACAAUGAUUUUGUAAUUCUUCCUAAAAUCUAGAUGUCACAUAUUGACAUUGACUGUGACAUUAAAGGUCACAUAUUGACAUUGACUGUGACAUUAAAAGUCACCUUCUCAAACUCAUUCGUUUGACAGUGAAGCUAUAUUACAUUAGAUUUUUUUUUUUCAAAUACGUUUCCGACAAGAAGACGACUAAACUAAUACAAUGUAAGAAAGAGAUUCAAACUUAGGUACAAGAGGAUCGGUGCACUGCGGUGAUCAACCGGGGAAAAAACCUACUGAAGAAGGGCAAUAAUAAUAGAACAUCUGAGUUGCAAUUAGCAACACAUGUUAUUAGAAAAGAUAAUCGUCAUCCUCAUAAAUAGGAAAUGAAAAUGUCACCAGAUAUAAAGGGCUGUAUUGAAGAAAUUAUAUACAAUGAGGGGAGUAAGAAGAAAUUAUGAUGAUUUCAUAACACAUAUCCAUGACCAGACUUUGUGUUGAGCUCAAUGCACUGAGGUGAGGAGACUAAGGCCCCGUUUGGUAUUGUUUUUUUUUUUUUACUAAAAACUGCUUAACUUUAAAUUUAAGCAGUAAAAAAGUGUUUUGGUAAAAGUAAAAUAUCCUGCUUAUUUUAAAAGUAAUGUUUUCCAGACAACAACUUUUAAAAGCAGCAUGUAGGUUGCUUUUAAAAGCUGCUGUAAUAAAAAGCAGAGUUGGUUCUUUAAUAAUUAUUUUCAAUUGUUGUAAUACCUUCAUUAAUUUUUUUAAAUGACAUUGUUUAGCCUUCCACACACAUUCUGUCCCUUAGAGAACAAAGUAAACAUCACCACCUACCACUACAAAUACUAACCUCACACCUUUGUCACCACCACCGCCAUAACCACAAUCUCCACCACUGUCAUCACUACCAUCAUUGUCACCACCAUUACCGCAACCGCCACCAUUGCCACCACAACCACAAUUGCCAUUACCACUAUCAUUGCCGCCACCGCCGACACCACCAUAUCGGCAACCACCACCACCAUUACCAUCACUGUUGUCGUCACCCCCACUCCUACUACUACUAUGUCCAUUUGUGAUUGUAUACAAUUAUAUCACUUUUACAUUAAUUUUUACCAAAUGCUUUUGCGUUGCUUUUCAUACUCAAAGCACUUUUAAAAUUCAAUUAACAUCAACUUUAUUUUAUAGCUGAUUAUUCUUAAAGUAUAGUAUAAGCAGUUUUUUUUUAAAAGCACAACAAUCCCAAACUGGCCCUAAGUAGUGGCUGCUGCUUGUUCCUCCGCUGCCUCCGGUUGAAGGGUGCAUAUGAGGUUACGGUCACCAUACACAUUGUCAACUCGUCCUGAUACAACAGUUAACGAAAUUCAAUCGUCAAUAUAAGCAAUCGGAUAGCACCAAAAUGAAAGUAUAGCAAACACUUAGCAACUUCCAUGCCAUUGUAGUUUAUUUUUGGCGUAAAUUGCGUACCUGUAGUAGGCCAGAACUUGGAAGAACGGAGCCAGGAAGCGGGGAAGGCUGCAUAUUCCCGGGAAUAUGGCUUUGUCCAUGCAUCUCCGAUGAGCAGUGAUGGCGGGUGAGGAGCUCCCUGCAGAAGGAGUUCAAAAACCAUUUAUAUUUAAAAUGAGUAACUGAUAGUUCUUGGAGGAGAGAGAUGAACAGAACUUUUACUUUAAGGACGUUGUUAAGAAUAUCAGCUUUUCCUUUCUGAAUCAGAGCAAUCUCUUCUCUGAUGGAAAUUAGAGCAUCACAAAACCUGUCUAACUCGGCCUGCAAGCAAGAAAAACUAAUAUACUUUAGCUCGAAGAAAAACAUCAGAGAAAAAAAUUAACUGAAAUCUUUCUGUUGGGUUGUACCUUGCUUUCACUUUCUGUUGGAUCAAUCAUGCGAGUGCCAGGAACUGGCCAUGACAUUGUUGGUCCAUGGAACCCGUAGUCCAUAAGACGCUUGGGGACGUCCUCAGGCUCUAUCCCAGCAGUAUUCUACAAGGAAAAAAGAAGCAGCAGAGUUCAAUUAGAAAGAGAUUGAAAAAGCGGACAAAUCAAGGCAAAUGCUAAGAAUAUACCUUAAAUCCUUUCAAGUCAACAAUGAAUUCAUGGGCAACAGUUCCAUUGACACCAUGGAAAAGAAUGGGGUAGUAAUUCUGUAAGAAAUGACAGACAAAUUUAGCAUACAGAGGAAAUUUAACAUGGAGUAUAACCGUAAGCUCAAAUUGUAAAGCAAAACAAGAGUGAAGGAGCAAACUGGAACCUCCAAGCGUUUGGCCAUGCAGUUUGCAUUCAGAAUAGCUAUGAUGAUAUCUUUGAUGCAUCGGUGAGUCCCUUGGACCCCAUCAUGGCUAUGUAAGUAUAAGAGAUUGGCAAAAUAAGUGCAGAGCCCAAGGUGCGGCAGAGAUGGUUUCGAGUGGCUGAGACUUGUGGAGGGCAGGAGGGCCACCGGUAGAUACCAUGUGUACAAUGGCACAAUUUUUUUUGUUUGUUUAUAUUUUCCUCAUCCCCCAAGUCAAGUGCAAGAACUCUCCCUCUAGUGUGAGUCCCACAAUUUCUUACCAUAGACUUCACUCGAUCCUGACCGUUGAUUUUGUGUGAUGAGAUUGAAUGUGGAGAUGUUGAACAUCCAAGAUGGUGGUGUUUUAUGGCUCUUUGGGACCAACAAUGGCAUUUGCCUUAUGCAAGUGGACUUCACUUCAUCUUAUAUGUUCAUUCUUCAAAUAGUGAUAAGAUAGUAAGAUGAUAAACAUCUUUCCUUUUGUGUUGAUUGUGUGUUUAUGAAUAAGAUAUUGUGUGUUUAAGAAGUUGACAGACGUAACACAUGUGUACUGAGAAUGAGGAUACGAUAACCGUAAAAUAUUUGUUUAGAUGAAGGGUUGAAACAAAACAUAGAAAGAAGAAAAGUGGGCCUCAUUGCUAUUUUCUUUUUUUUUUGUUGUGCAUAUUUGGUAUUUAUGAUCUACAUAUCAUAUAAUUCAAAACUUGACAGCUGUAACACAUGUAGAUCUGCAUACUGAAAAUACGACGAGUGUAAAGUGUUUGUUUGAAACGGAGGUGUAAAAUAAAACAUGCAUUUAUUGUGUAUUUAUAAAUAAGAUAUUGUGUGUUUAAGAAGCUGACAAACGUAACUCAUGAGUACUGAGAAUGAGAAUACGACGAUUGUAAAAUAUUUGUUCAAAUGGAGAGGUGAAAUAAAACAUUCAUUUUUAUGUUGUGCAGAUUUUGUAUUUAUGAUUUGCGUAUUGUAGAAUUUAAAACUUGAUAGCUGUAACGCAUGCAACUAUCCUAAGCUAUUAGAUCAGCAUUACUAAGUUUAAUAUAUAAUCUCUCUCGCAUUGUAGACAAGAUAUUUGAUAUGGUAGCUCCGACUCUAAAGUAUUUCAUUAAGAUACUCAUUCUAUAAAUGGACUAUUAAAAAAACUAUAAAAAAAAAAGCAAGGAGAUGAAAAAGCUUGUUACGUCUCGAAUUGAGGACAGUGAAAAAAAAUAACCUCGUGGUUAAUUUAAAAAAAAUGAAAAUAAAACGAAAAUGAACUUCUAUUGUACAAUAAAUUUUGAAACUUUACAAGUGUACAAGAAUAAUAAAAAUAUUAUGCCGCUUUUCUAACACAAUUUCUGCUCUUCUACCAUUUAUUAAUUUUGUAUUGAAUAUGUAAGGUCUAAAAUGUAUAAGGGGAAGGACAUAAGUUUUAUCAAGGAUAAUUGUCAAGACUAAACCAACACAUAAUUCAAUCAUAUUUCAUGAUAUCAAAUAUCACCAACAUAAAUUAUAUUUCAUAAAUACAGCUUAACUUCAUUACAGUGACAAUUUAUCUCAAAUGCCAAAAACCUGCAUUUUGCUUGAUAGUUUGAGUAAAGGUUACAAUACUUUCUUUACUGUUGCUCACAUUUCUUGUAGUGAACGGAAGCGAAAUCAAGGUCCUUCCAAGUAUAUCUCUUGGACUCUCCAACAACUCAUCAAGAAGUCGCAAUCGGAUGUGUUCGAUGCAAAGAUUGACAGGCCUAUUGAGCCUGCAUGUACGACCAACACCUUCGAUCAGUUGCUCAAGAUCUUCAAGUAGUAGAUUGCAUGCUCGCAUACGUUGCACAGCCUUGCCUUCGUUGAUUACCAUUAAUUAUUUGUUUCUUAUUUAGUAUUUUCAAUUAAUUUUUGUGUUCGAGAUUUGUUAUAUAGACAUGUUUUCAAGUUCUACAACAUUCAGAACAUUGUUGUAAAUGUCGGCUUUUCCUUUUUCAAUCCGAGCUGAAGACUUAAGAGGUGGCUGCCGCUUGUUCCUCCACCGCCUAAGGGUGUAGAUGAGGUUGCCUUCACCACACAUAUUGUCAACACGCACAUCCAGAUAUUGUAUAGCUAUCAACGAAAAUCGUCACUAAAAGUAAUCAGAACAAUACCACACUGUACAUACCUGAAACUCCUCCAAGAAAUUGAUAUCUACGCUCACUAAAAAACCUAAGACAUAAACUUGGUCUCCACUAUUGAGAGUUCAUAGUGGAGACCAAGGAAUGAAUGAUCAUCCUUGAAUGAUCAUCCAUCCACAUUUUUUAAUUAGUGACCAAGGAGUGAAUGAUCAUCCAUCCUUGAAUUUGGAUAUGUUUUUAUUAUUUUAAUCUCAACCCUUAAUAUCAGAUCCAAGGGCAAAUGACUAUGAAUUCUUGGUCCCCAAGCAAUACAAGGUCAAUACUCCUAUGAUAUUGUUUUCUUAUUUAUCAAUUUGUUCCGAAUAUUAUGGUUUUUUGGACCAACUUGGAAACCCUUGCAGACUAGUAUUUGGAAACCCUUGCCGCUUUUACUCAUUAUAUUUACAUUGCUAGACUUUCUUAGUUUCUCAAUUCUUACCUUCCAGUUUGUUCUCUUCCCUAUUCUCAAUAUCUUCACGUCCAACUAGCUCUAGCUUUCAGAAAACCCUAGUUUUUUUCCUCUCGUCUAUAACAGUUUCUUCUGUUUCCAAAUAAACCCUAGCUUUCAUAAACCCCUAGUUUUGUUUCUUUCGUUUAGUCAAGGAGAAGUACAAACAAUGAAUCUUUCAAACAUUCUUCAAGAAAAGACGAGUAUGUUCAUCAAGAAGUUGAGCAAGUCCCAGUACUCCAAGAAAAGUUACACAGCUUUAAGCAAGCCCCAGCCCCCUAAGAAAGGUUAUAUCAAUGUGUACGUUGGACAAGAACGAAAGCUAUAUCAGAUUCCUUUGAAGUAUCUCUUGGAUCCAACUCUCCAACAACUCAUCGAGAAGUCGCAGCCGGAUGUGUUCGACUCAAAGAUUGACGGGCCAAUUGAGCUUGCAUGUACGACCCACACCUUCGACGAGUUUCUCAAGAUCUUCAAAAAGUAGCAGACUGCAUGCGUGCGCAGCCUUGUUUGAUUAAUAUUGAUUAUUUGUUCAUUUUUUUGUACUUUGAUUUAAUUUUUGUAUUCGAGGUUUAUUAGUUAUUGAUUCAGAUGCACAAAAAUUAACGUUUUUGUACAGCCUCUCAACCUCAUCCGUUUGACGGUGAGGAUAAAUAAUAUACAUUGAUUUUUUUUUUCAAAUAUGUUUUUGGCAAUCGGGCGCCUAAACUAAUCUAACGUAAGAUGGAGAUCCAAACUUAGGUGCAAGAGGGCCGACGCACUGCAGUGCCCAACUGGGAACAAAACCUAAUGAAGAAGGGCAAAAAUAAUUACAACAUCUGAGUUGCAAUUAGCAACAUGUUAUUAGAAAGGAUAAUUGUCAUCAUCAUAAAUAGGAAACGAAUGUCACCAGAUAUAAAGGGUAUAUUGAAGAAAUUAUAUACAAUGUGGGAGUAAGAAGAAGAAAUUGAUGAUGAUUUCAUAACAUAUCCAUGACCAGACUUUGUGUUGAGCUCAAUGCACCGAGCCGAGGAGAUUAAGCAGUGGCUGCUGCUUGUUCCUCCACUGCUUCCGGUUGAAGGGUGCAGACGAGGUUACGGUCACCAUACACAUUGUCAACGCGUCCUGACACAAUAGUUAACGAAAUUCAAUCGUCAAUAAAAGCAAUCAGAGAGUACCAAAAUGGAAGUAUAGCAAACACCUGGCAACUUCCAUGCCAUUCUAGUUUCUUUAUUUUUGGUGUAAAUUGCAUACCUGUGGUAGGCCAGAACUUGGAAGAACGGAGCCAGGAAGCGGGGAAGGCUGCAUAUUCCCGGGAAUAUGGCUUUGUCCAUGCAUCUCCCAUGAGCAGUGAUGGCGGGUGAGGAGCUCCCUGCAGGAGGAGUUCAAAAACCAUUUUUAAUUAUGUAAAAUGAGUAACUUAUAGUCUUGGAGGAGAGAGAUGAGCAGAGCCUUUACUUUAAGGACAUUGUUGAGAAUAUCGGCUUUUCCUUUCUCAAUCUGAGCAAUCUCUUCUCUGAUGGAAAUUAGAGCAUCACAAAACCUGUCUAACUCGGCCUGCAAGCAAGAAAAAUAAUUACUUGAACUCGAAGAAAAACAUCAGAGAAAAAAUCAAAGGAAAUUUUCUGUUGGGGUGUACCUUGCUUUCACUUUCUGUUGGCUCAAUCAUGAGAGUGCCAGGAACUGGCCAUGACAUUGUUGGUCCAUGGAAACCGUAGUCCAUAAGACGCUUGGCAACGUCCUCAGGCUCUAUCCCAGCAGUAUUCUACAGGAAAAAAAAGCAGCAGAGUUCAAUUAGACAGAGAUAAAAAAUGCGGACAAAUCAAGGCAAAUGUCAAGAAUAUACCUUAAAUCCUCUCAAGUCAACAAUGAAUUCGUGGGCAACAGUUCCAUUGACACCACGGAAAAGAAUGGGGUAGUAAUUCUGAAAGAAAUGACAGACAAAAUGAGCAAACAGAGGAAAUUUAACAUAGAGUAUAACCAUAAGCGCAAAUUGUAAAGCAAUACAAAAGUGAAGAAGAAAAGUGGAACCUCCAAGCGUUUGGCCAUGUAGUUUGCAUUCAGAAUUGCUAUCUUUGAUGCAUCAGUGAGUCCCUUGGACCCCAUCAUGGCUAUGUAAGUAUAAGAGAUUGGCAAAAUAAGUGCAGAGCCCCAAGGUGCAGCAGAGAUGGUUCCGAGUGGCUGAGACUUGUCAGGGACAGGAAGGCCACCGGUAGAUACCUUCAGUACAAUAGCACAAAACUUAGACAUCCAGCAUGUAAGGAAUUACAUUGUUUCUCAUGUAAACCAAAUUGAUUAUUUCUGAGUUUACAGAAUCGGUUGAAAAGCUUCAACGUUAAGAGUAGUUACCACAGGAUGGGAUGGUAAGAAGGGUGCCAAGUGCUUCUUCACACCAAUAGGACCCAUGCCAGGGCCACCACCUCCGUGUGGAAUGCAAAAUGUUUUGUGGAGAUUGAGAUGGCAAACGUCAGCUCCAAUCCAACCUGGGCUUGUCAGACCAACCUGCAAGAACAAAAAGCUUGUUAGAUUGGACAUGCGCCAGCAAAAGAAAACAGCCUGCAGGGCAGAAACUGUUUGAAUUUAUGUUUCAAGGACAUAACUAUCAAGCAUGGAUAGGAUAAGAUACAGACCUGUGCAUUCAUGUUAGCCCCGUCCAUGUAUACUUGACCCCCGUUGUCAUGAAUGAUCUUACAUAUCUCAUCAAUACCUUCUUCAUACACUCCGUGAGUUGAAGGAUAUGUCACC
rnacentral:lncRNA from 1 species